GCUGCACGUCAGCACGACCAACUAAGCGCGUCAGCACGCAGCCGCGCGCAUCGCAGGGCCCGCCGGGAACCGUAGUACGCCCCGUGGUCUUGUGCGCAGGCGCCGAGGCUACACCGGGAAGUGUAGUUUCUUAAGGAGGGAAGGAGGUUCAACUUCGUUGACGAAGAACUACAAGUCCCGUCGGCCAGUGCGAGGAAGGGCUGGGUAGUGGACCAGAGUAGACAACGUAUUCCGGAGGGUUUCCGCUGGGGGGAGAGGACACAGAGCCUCGCGCCACAUCGAGUGACGCCAGAGCGCACAUGAGCCUCCCGCCUUCGACCCAAACCAUUCUGGGAGUUGUAGUUCUAGCGUGGCACGGAACCCGUAUGUAGCUGCGGCCACCACCCCCCCCUUACCCCGGGGCGCGGCCGCCAUUUUGUCUUCCCAUGUUGGGAGGCGAUGGCCCGCGAACAGGGGAGCUACUGCUUCCGUGUGACCGCGGGCCUCCACGGGGCGAGCCCGCGGCCGCGCCGCCCUCGGCCUUCCGCACCCGGAGAAGGCCCCUCAGACCCCAGCCAGCGGGCACCCCCGGAACCUCAGAUCCCAGCUUCAGGCCCAGGGCCUGAGGCAAAGGCCGAGCCAGCCUGCCGUGGUGGUUGCAGCUUCCACGCGGACGGUGCUGACCGGGCGGCUGCCCUGGGGGAUAAUUUUCUAUGACCUCCGGGUGAAAAAGGAAUAAAAUUCAGUUAAAAGACCCGUGAUAAUCUCAGAAAACUGUCACGUGGUUUCAGGGAAACUACUGCUCUUCUAAUAAGCCAUUGUAGGCACACAGAAGGGAGGACCCGGAAACACCACUCCCAAGUCCAUUUCCCGUUCUGAUCCCGCCAGAGCCUGAGGGACCAGGGAGGAGAGAGCCUGCCUCCUUUGCUAGGGGUGAGUUCGUCACCUUGAGAAGAUGACGGCAGGAGAGAUGCCCAGAGUCUGCUUCACCGUGGAUGGUGAAAUACCUGUACAAGUGGUGCUCACAGGGCCCGCGGCAUUAGUGGUGGCUGGGGGCCUCAUUCUGUGCAAGCUGCCCCCAGUCUUCGCUGCAUUUGUGAUCAUUGGCUUCUGCACCGGGGUCACCAUCUACUUCUUGAAUAAGUACAUGAAUAAGAAAGGAAGUCAAGGUCCAGACUUCAAGAAGGAAAAAGAGAUUUAGCCUCACAGGCCAAAUGCUGGCUGAAGAUGGAAACUAACCAGAAAAGUCCUGAUGGUUAUGGAAAAAGGAGAUUCAAUCUUCGAGAUCAAACACAAUCUGAAGACACCAGCUGGCAAGGCCACGUGCUCCCCUUCCCCUACCUGAAACCCCAGAUAAAAACCCCUACGUUUUUCACUUCAAGGAGGUGGAUUUGAGUUUUAACUCCCAUCUCCUCGUCUGCUGCCUUUCAAUGAUAAACCUCUUUCCUUGCCACAAGCCUGGCAUUUGGUUAUUUGCCCUCAUGUGCAG